GACGAACCGUCCAAACGUUAUUCGGAAUCACUGGGCGUAAAGCGCACGUAGGCGGAUUGCUAAGUCAGGGGUGAAAUCCUGGAGCUCAACUCCAGAACUGCCCUUGAUACUGGCGGUCUCGAGUCCGGGAGAGGUGAGUGGAACUGCGAGUGUAGAGGUGAAAUUCGUAGAUAUUCGCAAGAACACCAGUGGCGAAGGCGGCUCACUGGCCCGAUACUGACGCUGAGGCACGAAAGCGUGGGGAGCAAACAGG
rnacentral:rRNA from 1 species